AUGGGACUUUAUCUCCAUAUCUAUGACGCUAACUAGAUAGCUAUGGUAAACGAAUCCCAUAUAUUGAACUUGCAUGUUACUAUGUGAGGUUGUUUGCACUUUUCGGAGUACAGGUGGCUUUGUGUAGGAACAGAGUGGACUGAAUUCAUUUUUAAAUUCUUUCCAUUUUGAAGGCAUGCAACAUCU
rnacentral:snoRNA from 1 species